UACAGAGGUCUCAAGCGUUGUUCGGAUUCAUUGGGCGUAAAGGGUGCGUAGGUGGCGCUGUAAGUCAGGUGUGAAAUUUCGGAGCUUAACUCCGAAACUGCAUUUGAUACUGCGGUGCUUGAGGACUGGAGAGGAGACUGGAAUUUACGGUGUAGCAGUGAAAUGCGUAGAGAUCGUAAGGAAGACCAGUGGCGAAGGCGGGUCUCUGGACAGUUCCUGACACUGAGGCAACGAAAGCCAAGGGAGCAAACAGG
rnacentral:rRNA from 1 species